rnacentral:lncRNA from 1 species
GGAAGAAGGGGGCGGAGUUAGCCAGGCCGUGCGCGGUGCGUCGGGAGCCUGCGGAACCCGAGGCGGCCGGCCUGUCGUUGGAACAGAUUUGGGGAAUUCUUCCUUGAGCCAUUCUUUGCCUGUUCCUCUCUGAGAACCCUAUGGCCUUCUUGAGUGCAUCCACAUCAGUGUUAACACUUUGAGCAUUGACAUUCAUCAAGCUGAAUUUUCAAUGACAAGUAUGUCUAUCUCCUACACUUAUUUCUAACCCAAAGGUAAGAAAUGUGAAUUUUAACCAUAUUUUCAAUAGCUCUCACAGAAUCUAAUCAAUCAUAGACAUUCCUUAAAUGCAAAACAUUUUCAUU